UUUCACUCAAAACCCACCAAAUGACUCCUCCCACAAUAUUAUGAUGUUUCCCAAGUUUUGGACUCAAUCCGAUGUCGAUUGGUCCUUGAAAUCGGACAGUUCAGGUUCCUACAAAGUUCGUUCUGAAAUGGGGUGCUUGGUGUAUUGUAUAGUUCUAGAGAUUGGAUUUCACUGAAAGCCCACCAAAUGACUACUCCCACAAUGUUAUGAUGUUCCCAAAGUUUUGGACUCAAUCCGAUAUCGAUCGGUCCACGAAAUUUGACAAUUCAGGUUCGUAAGAAGUUCGUUCUGAAAUGCGGUGGUUGGUGUAUUUUAUAGUUCUAAAGAUUAGAUUUCACCCAAAACCCACCAAAUGACUCCUCCCAAAAUAUUAUGAUGUUCCCCAACUUUUGGACUCAAUCCGAUAUCGAUUGGACCUUGAAAUCGGACAAUUCAGGUUCCUACGAAGUUCGUUCUGAAAUGGGGUGGUUGGUGUAUUGUAUAGUUCUAGAGAUUGGAUUUCACUCAAAACCCACCAAAUGACUCCUCCCACAAUAUUAUGAUGUUCCCCAAGUUUUGGACUCAAUCCGAUAUCGAUUGGUCCUUCAAAUCGGACAAUUCAGGUUCGUACGAAGUUCAUUCUGAAAUGGGUUGGUUGGUGUAUUUCAUAGUUCUAGAGAUUGGAUUUCACACAAAACCCACCAAAUGACUCCUCCCAAAAUAUUAUGAUGUUCCCCAAGUUUUGGACUCAAUCCGUUACCGAUUAGUCAAUGUAAUCGGACAAUUCAGGUUCGUACGAAUUUCGUUCUGAAAUGGGGUGGUUGGUGUAUUGUAUAGUUCUAAAGAUUGGAUUUCACUCAAAACCCACCAAAUUACUCCUCCCACAAUAUUAUGAUGUUCCCCACGUUUUGGACUCAAUCCGUUAUCGAUUGGUCAAAGAAAUCGGACAAUUCAAGUUAGUACGAAGUUCGUUCUGAAAUGGGGAGGUUGGUGUAUUGUAUAGUUCUAGAGAUUGGAUUUCACUCAAAGCCCACCAAAUGACUCCUCCCACAAUGUUAUGAUGUUCCCCAAGUUUUGGACUCAAUCCGAUAUCGGUCGGUCCACGAAAUUUGACAAUUCAGGUUCGUAAGAAGUUCGUUCUGAAAUGCGGUGGUUGGUGUAUUUUAUAGUUCUAAAGAUUGGAUUUCACUCAAGACCCACCAAAUGACUCCUCCCACAAUAUUAUGAUGUUCCCCAAGUUUUGGACUCAAUCCGAUAUCGAUUAGACCUUGAAAUCGGACAAUUCAGGUUCCUACGAAGUUCGUUCUGAAAUGGGGUGGUUGGUGUAUUGUAUAGUUCUAGAAUUGGAUUUCACUCAAUACCCACCAAAUGACUCCUCCCAAAAAUAUUAUGAUGUUCCCCAAGUUUGGACUCAAUCCGUUACCGAUUGGUCAAUAAAAUCGGACAAUUCAGGUUCGUACGAAGUUCGUUCUGAAAUGGGGUGGUUGGUGUAUUGUAUGGUUCUAAAAUUGGAUUUCACUCAAUACCCACCAAAUGACUCCUCCCACAAUAUUAUGAUGUUCCCCAAGUCUUGGACUCAAUCCGAUAUCGAUUGGACCUUGAAAUCGGACAAUUCAGUUCCUACGAAGUUCGUUUCUGAAAUGGGGUGGUUGGUUGUAUUGUAUAGUUCUAGAGAUUGAUUUCACUCAAAACCCACCAAAUGACCUCCUCCCAAAUAUUAAUGAUGUUCCCCAGUUUUGACUCAUCCGAUAUCGAUUGGUCCUUCAAAUCGGACAAUUCAGGUUCGUACGAAGUUCGUUCUGAAAUGGGUUGGUUGGUGUAUUGCAUAGUUCGAGAGAUUGGAUUUCACACAACACCCACCAAAUGACUCCUCGCAAAAUUUUAUGAUGUUCCCCAAGUUUUGGACUCAAUCCGUUACCGAUUGGUCAAUGAAAUCGGACAAUUCAGGCUCGUACGAAGUUCGUUCUGAAAUGGGGUGGUUGGUGUAUUGUAUGGUUCUAAAAUUGGAUUUCACUCAAUACCCACCAAAUGACUCCUCCCACAAUAUUAUGAUGUUCCCCAAGUCUUGGACUCAAUCCGAUAUCGAUUGGACCUUGAAAUCGGACAAUUCAGGUUCCUACGAAGUUCGUUCUGAAAUGGGGUGGUUGGUGUAUUGUAUAGUUCUACAGAUUGGAUUUCACUCAAACCCCACCAAAGGACUCCUCCACAAUAUUAUGAUUUUCCCCAUGUUUUGGACUCAAUCCGAUAUCGAUUGGUCCUUCAAAUCGGACAAUUCAGGUUCAUACGAAGUUCGUUCUGAAAUGGGGUGGUUGGUGUAUUGUAUAGUUCUCGAGAUUGGAUUUCACUCAAAACCCCCCAAAUGACUCCUCCCACAAUAUUAUGGUGUUCCCCAAGUUUUGGACUCAAUCCGAUAUCGAUUGGACAAUGAAAUCGGACAAUUCAGGUUCGUACGAAGUUCGUUCUGAAAUGGGGUGGUUGGUGUUUUGUAUAGUUCUAGGGAUUGUAUUUCACUCAAAACUUACCAAAUGACUGCUUCCACAAUAUUAUGAUGUUCCCCAAGUUUUGGACUCAAUCCGAUAUCGAUUGGUCCUUGAAAUCGGACAAUUCAGGUUCGUACGAUGUCCGUUCUGAAAUGGGGUGGUUGGUGUGUUGUAUAGUUCUACAAAUUGGAUUUCACUCAAACCCCACCAAAUGACUCCUCCGACAAUAUUAUGAUGUUCCCCAAGUUUUGGACUCAAUCCGAUAUCGAUUGGUCCAUGAAAUCUGACAAUUCAGGUUCGUACGAAGUUCGUUCUGAAAUGUUGUGGUUGGUGUAUUGUAUAGUUCUAGAGAUUGGAAUUCACUCAAAACCCACCAAAUGACUCCUCCCAAAAUAUUAUGUUGUUACCCAAGUUUUGGACUCAAUCCGUUAUCAAUUGGUCAAUGAAAUCGGACAAUUCAGGUUCGUACGAAGUUCGUUCUGAAAUAGGGUGGUUGGUGUGUUGUAUAGUUCUAGAGAUUGGAUUUCACUCAAAACCCACCCCAUGACUCCUCCCACAAUAUUAUGAUGUUCCCCAAGUUUUUGACUCAAUCGAAUAUGGAUUGGUCCUUGAAAUCGGACAAUUCAGGUCCGUACGAAGUUCGUUCUGAAAUGGGGUGGUUGUUGUAUUGUAUAGUUCUAGAGAUUGGAAUUCACUCAAAACCCACCAAAUGACUCCUCCCAAAAUAUUGUGUUGUUCCCCAAGUUUUGGACUCAAUCCGUUAUCGAUUGGUCAAUGAAAUCGGACAAAUUCAGGUUCGUACGAAGUUCGUUCUGAAAGGGGGUGGUUGGUGUAUUGUAUAGUUCUGGAGAUUGGAUUUCACUCAACACCCACCAAAUGACUCCUCCCACAAUAUGAUGAUGUUCCCCAAGUUUUGGACUCAAUCCGAUAUCGAUUGGUCAAUGAAAUCGGACAAUUCAGGUUCGUACGAAGUUCGUUCUGAAAUGGGGUGGUUGGUGUAUUGUAUAGUUCUAGAGAUUGGAUUUCACUCAAAACCCACCAAAUGACUCCUCCCACAAUAUGAUGAUGUUCCCCAAGUUUUGGACUCAAUCCGAUAUCGAUUGGUCAAUGAAAUCGGACAAUUCAGGUUCGUACGAAGUU
rnacentral:lncRNA from 1 species